AUNCUGGCUGAGGAUGAACGCUGGCGGCGUGCUUAACACNUGCAAGUCGAACGAUGAUCUCCAGCUUGCUGGGGGGAUUAGUGGCGAACGGGUGAGUAACACGUGAGUAACCUGCCCUUGACUCUGGGAUAAGCCUGGGAAACUGGGUCUAAUACCGGAUAUGACCAUCUGGCGCAUGUCAUGGUGGUGGAAAGCUUUUUUGUGGUUUUGGAUGGACUCGCGGCCUAUCAGCUUGUUGGUGGGGUAAUGGCCUACCAAGGCGACGACGGGUAGCCGGCCUGAGAGGGUGACCGGCCACACUGGGACUGAGACACGGCCCAGACUCCUACGGGAGGCAGCAGUGGGGAAUAUUGCACAAUGGGCGCAAGCCUGAUGCAGCGACGCCGCGUGAGGGAUGACGGCCUUCGGGUUGUAAACCUCUUUCAGUAGAGAAGAAGCGUAAGUGACGGUACCUGCAGAAGAAGCGCCGGCUAACUACAUGCCAGCAGCCGCGGUAAUACGUUGGGCGCAAGCGUUAUCCGGAAUUAUUGGGCGUAAAGAGCUCGUAGGCGGUUUGUCGCGUCUGCUGUGAAAGACCGGGGCUCAACUCCGGUUCUGCAGUGGGUACGGGCAGACUAGAGUGCAG
rnacentral:rRNA from 1 species